CCUGACUGCUAUAGGAUUGAUACUAAGCCAUGCGAGUCAUUGUAGCAAUACAAGGCAGACGGCUCAGUAACGCGUAGUCAACCUAACCUAUGGACGGGAAUAACCUCGGGAAACUGAGAAUAAUGCCCGAUAGAACACUAUACCUGGAAUGGUUUGUGUUCCAAAUGAUUUAUCGCCGUAGGAUGGGACUGCGGCCUAUCAGUUUGUUGGUGAGGUAAUGGCCCACCAAGACUAUUACAGGUACGGGCUCUGAGAGGAGUAGCCCGGAGAUGGGUACUGAGACACGGACCCAGGCCCUAUGGGGCGCAGCAGGCGAGAAAACUUUGCAAUGUGCGAAAGCACGACAAGGUUAAUCCGAGUGAUUUGUGCUAAACGAAUCUUUUGUUAGUCCUAGAAACACUAACGAAUAAGGGGUGGGCAAGUUCUGGUGUCAGCCGCCGCGGUAAAACCAGCACCUCAAGUGGUCAGGAUGAUUAUUGGGCCUAAAGCAUCCGUAGCCGGCUCUGUAAGUUUUCGGUUAAAUCUGUAUGCUCAACAUACAGGCUGCCGGGAAUACUGCAGAGCUAGGGAGUGGGAGAGGUAGACGGUACUCGGUAGGAAGGGGUAAAAUCCUUUGAUCUAUUGAUGACCACCUGUGGCGAAGGCGGUCUACCAGAACACGUCCGACGGUGAGGGAUGAAAGCUGGGGGAGCAAACCGGAUUAGAUACCCGGGUAGUCCCAGCUGUAAACUAUGCAAACUCAGUGAUGCAUUGACUUGUGGUCAAUGCAGUGCUGCAGGGAAGCCGUUAAGUUUGCCGCCUGGGAAGUACGUACGCAAGUAUGAAACUUAAAGGAAUUGGCGGGGGAGCACCACAAGGGGUGAAGCCUGCGGUUC
rnacentral:rRNA from 2 species